UACGUAGGGUGCGAGCGUUGUCCGGAAUUAUUGGGCGUGAAAGAGCUCGUAGGCGGUUUGUCGCGUCGGCCGUGAAAACUUGGGGCUUAACCCCCAAGCCUGCGGUCGAUACGGGCAGACUUGAGUUCGGCAGGGGAGACUGGAAUUCCUGGUGUAGCGGUGAAAUGCGCAGAUAUCAGGAGGAACACCGGUGGCGAAGGCGGGUCUCUGGGCCGAAACUGACGCUGAGGAGCGAAAGCGUGGGGAGCAAACAGG
rnacentral:rRNA from 1 species